rnacentral:rRNA from 1 species
CUUGAACGCUGGCUGCAGGCCUAACACAUGCACGUCGAACGAGUGGCGGACGGGUGAGUAAUGUCUGGGAAACUGCCUGAUGGAGGGGGAUCACUACUGGAAACGGUAGCUAAUACCGCAUACCAUCGGAUGUGCCCCGAUGGGAUUAGCUAGUAGGUGGGGUAAAGGCCCACCUAGGCGACGAUCCCUAGCUGGUCUGAGAGGAUGACCAGCAAAACUGGAACUGUGACACGGUCCAGAAUCCUACGGGAGGCAGCAGUGGGGAAUAUUGCACAAUGGGAGCAAGCCUGAUGCAGCCAUGCCGCGGGUAUGAAGAAGGCCUUAGGGUUGUAAAGUACUUUCAGCGGGGAGGCGUUACCCGCAGAAGAAGCACCGGCUAACUCCGUGCCAGCAGCCGCGGUAAUAC